rnacentral:piRNA from 1 species
UUCGUGAUGUAGGAGGAGCCACUGCAGC